AUGGAGUGGGCUACCCCAAAUUGUGUGGGGCCUGGUGGAUGUGAAAACAGUUUUUCAAGGUGGUUAUAUGUGACAAAUUGCAAAUUACCAAUCCAACUUGCCAAUGUACAAUCUCCCUUUCUUCUUAAUGAACAGAAUCCCAUUUUGUUGGAGGAAGAUCUGGGCCUAGCUAAGCAUGAUCGCUGUUUCAGACUUCUUCGCAGCUGUUGGUGGCCUUGUAAUACAACUCAGACUGAUGAGAUGGGAGAGGACAUCUGCUGGGAAUUUGGGGGAAACCUUUUGUUUUCCUGUUACAGUGCAGUGGGGUUGAAUGCAUGAAGUCAGAGCACUAGGUUUGAAACCUUCUUCUGGAACUCAGGAGCUGAGUGACUGAAAUCAAACCACUAGGUUCAAAGCCUUCUUCUGGAACUCAGGAGCUGAGUGACUUUGGGCAAUGGCUUGACCUUCUUCAUGGCUCAUUGGCUUCGUCUGUAAAUUGCCAUGGUAACGGAGAUGCUUCAGAGGAUUGUUGUGAAGGUUACAGAAGGUGAAGGUAGAGUGUUUUGCACAGCACCUGGCACAUAAUUAGGGCUCAGGUUUUGUUCCCUGGUGAGUAGCAUCCAUGGUUGACAGAGCUGGGGCUCAGAGCUAGGCCUGCUGACAUGGAGCUGUUUCUGUGCUUGGCACUAGGACUAUGAAGCAUGAGUGAGAUGCAGCUUCCACUAAUGAGUUCAAGAAGCUCAGGGUCUGCAAUGGGUGUUCAGGAAUUGAGAAUACUGAGGUAGAAAUGCAGUUCAUUAACCAGCCACCCUUCUCCCCAAGCCGCUUGGAUAUUACUCUCCCUAAGAUCAGGGAUGGUGCCCCUGAACAUGAGUAGGUGGAUGCCCAUGGCCAGGCAGUAAAAGCCAGAGGCAAAUCCCGCAGAUUCGACUUUCUGUUUCCUAUCUCUGUCGCAUCCAUUGUGUUCUUGUGAGGUUCUUUCUCUCACAGAAUUAUGUAACUUGUCACCACAGUCACGUCUGUGUGUUUUGUUGAUGCCAUUUAAAUUCUGUUACUAUUUAAUAUCAAGAACAUCGAAAAAGAACAUUUUGAGGGACUUGAAAAAUCCAAUUGGUCUCUUGGUAAUUUGAUUUGUAGGAAAUAGGAGAAGAUAGUAUUCUGAAUAGAGUGCUUUUAAAUGAAUCAUCAUUGCUUUCUUGUACAGGCAAUGGAUGGGCUGAGAUUGGGAGCCCUGUU
rnacentral:lncRNA from 13 species